UACGUAGGCAGCGAGCGUUGUUCGGAUUUAUUGGGCGUAAAGAGCGUGUAGGCGGUUUGGUAGGUCCGCUGUGAAAACUCGAGGCUCAACCUCGAGACGCCGGUGGAAACCAUCAGACUAGAGUCCGGAAGAGGAGAGUGGAAUUCCUGGUGUAGCGGUGAAAUGCGCAGAUAUCAGGAAGAACACCCGUGGCUAAGGCGGCUCUCUAGUACGGUACUGACGCUGAGACGCGAAAGCGUGGGGAGCGAACAGG
rnacentral:rRNA from 1 species